UACGUAGGCAGCGAGCGUUGUUCGGAGUUACUGGGCGUAAAGGGUGUGUAGGCGGUUCUUUAAGUUUGGGGUGAAAUCUCCCGGCUCAACCGGGAGGGUGCGCCGAAUACUGAGGGACUAGAGUACGGGAGAGGAAAGUGGAAUUCCUGGUGUAGCGGUGAAAUGCGUAGAUAUCAGGAGGAACACCGGUGGUGUAGACGGCUUUCUGGACCGUAACUGACGCUGAGACACGAAAGCGUGGGUAGCAAACAGG
rnacentral:rRNA from 1 species